GUUGGUGCAGAAAACCCGGUUCUGAUAUUUGCGGCUGAGCAAAUAUUCUGUGCUGGUGGUUAACUACUUCCCUUCAAGGUAUGACCCGGUUCGCCAUGCAGAGAAGUAUCCAACUCCACCUACAGUCUGCUACGGAAACCGUGAGAGGUGUAUUAUUGAGAAAGAGAACAACUUCAAGGAGCCUGGAGAUAGAUACCGUUCCUUCACACCAGAGAGGUACACAUUGUUUUUAAUAUUUUCUUUUUGGUGAUACUCAAUACAUUUACAUGUUUA